CCACGGGAGGCUGCAGUGGGGAAUAUUGGACAAUGGGCGAAAGCCUGAUCCAGCCAUGCCGCGUGUGUGAAGAAGGCCUUCGGGUUGUAAAGCACUUUCAGUGGGGAAGAAAGCCUUGGGGCUAAUACCCUCGAGGAAGGACAUCACCCACAGAAGAAGCACCGGCUAACUCCGUGCCAGCAGCCGCGGUAAUACGGAGGGUGCGAGCGUUAAUCGGAAUUACUGGGCGUAAAGCGCGCGUAGGCGGUCUGAUAAGCCGGUUGUGAAAGCCCCGGGCUCAACCUGGGAACGGCAUCCGGAACUGUCAGGCUAGAGUGCAGGAGAGGAAGGUAGAAUUCCCGGUGUAGCGGUGAAAUGCGUAGAGAUCGGGAGGAAUAUCAGUGGCGAAGGCGGCCUUCUGGACUGACACUGACGCUGAGGUGCGAAAGCGUGGGUAGCAAACAGGAUUAGAUACCCUUGUAGUC
rnacentral:rRNA from 1 species